GAUGAAUGCUGGCGGCGUGCCUAAUACAUGCAAGUCGAACGGUAACAGGGUCUCACUGUUCUCUUGACUCUCUUGGCCUAUUGGUAAGAGUUAUAGAUUCGAGGGAACUGUGAGAUUGCUGACGAGUGGCGGACGGCUGAGUAACGCGUGGGCACAUACCCUAAACUGAGGGAUAACUAGUCGAAAGAUUAGCUAAUACCGCAUAUUAUCUACGGAUCAAAGUCUUCGGACGGUUUAGGAAUGGCCUGCGUACGAUUAGAUAGUUGGUGAGGUAAAGGCUCACCAAGUCGACGAUCGUUAGAUGGUUUGAGAGGAUGAUCAUCCAGACUGGGACUGAGACACGGCCCAG
rnacentral:rRNA from 1 species